rnacentral:rRNA from 1 species
AUAUCAAUAAGCGGAGGAAAAGAAACCAACAGGGAUUGCCUCAGUAACGGCGAGUGAAGCGGCAACAGCUCAAAUUUGAAAUCUGCCAUCAGGCCGAAUUGUAAUUUGUAGAGGAUGCUUUGGAGAAGUACUCGGUCUAAGUUCCUUGGAACAGGACGUCAUAGAGGGUGAGAAUCCCGUACGUGGCCUUGAUACCAUCCGUGUAAAGCUCCUUCGACGAGUCGAGUUGUUUGGGAAUGCAGCUCUAAAUGGGAGGUAUAUUUCUUCUAAAGCUAAAUACCGGCCAGAGACCGAUAGCGCACAAGUA